CUUCAGUGAAAUUGUGAGAAUCUGAAUAGUCGACGUGGAGAGGCUGUUUACAGGUGAGGGGAACCCAAGUUGACAAUGAUGAGACAGACAAACAAUCCCUUCAGGAAGGAUAUAUUACUGUCACUCCACUUGGAGCCCUCUCCCGUGCAGAGAUAGACUGCCAGAAUUACUUCAAAGAAUGGCUUCCAAAUGUUGUAGGACAUGCCUCUUCGUCAUCUUUAUAAUACUACGAAGAGCUAUUAGGUAAAAUUAAAUAAUACAGUGCAUGCCUCAUUGUUAUCUUCUCGUUAAGAUGUUCUCUAAAUUAUUAUAUAUUUUUGAUUUGACGUUGCUGUCGUAAUCUUGAUGAUAAGAAAAGUGAAUACUUUUGCACAUUGAAUAUCUCUCAAG